rnacentral:rRNA from 1 species
UAAAGGGCCGCGGUAUUUUGACCGUGCAAAGGUAGCAUAAUCAUUAGUCUCUUAAUUAGAGGCUGGAAUGAAUGGUUUGACGAGAAAUUAACUGUCUCUUAAUAAGUUUUAAAAUUUAACUUUUGAGUUAAAAGGCUUAAAUUUUUCUUUAGGACGAGAAGACCCUAUAGAGCUUGACAUUUUAAUUUUAUAUUUUUUUAAGAUAGGUCUUUUUAUAUUUAAUGAUAAUGUUUUGUUGGGGUGACAUGAAGAAUUAAGAAACUCUUUAUUAUAAAAUCGUUAAUUUAUGUUUAUUUUGAUCCAUAAUUUAUGAUCAUAAGAUUAAGUUACCUUAGGGAUAACAGCGUAAUUGUUUUUGAGAGCUCAUAUUGACAAAGCAGAUUGCGACCUCGAUGUUGGAUUAAGAAAAAUUUUGGGUGUAGUA